AAGCCCUUGACCCGAGACCCAUCGGCCCGAGACCAUAACCAAUGAGCCCGACCCGGUCUCCAACCCAUGGCCCGAACCAGGUACCCGACCCGGAACCCUGACCCGCCGCCGGCAGUUUUUCCGGCGACUUUUUCCGGCGACUUUCCGGUGACCUUUCCGGCUAUUUUUCCGGCGACCAAACUCACCGUUUCGCUGGAUUUUCGAGCGAAAAUCCUUAAUAUGAUGAAUUGAGACAGCACAAAAAGGACUGUAAGUAUUUUUAUACUUACUGAGGGUAGCACUGGAUUUCAGUAAUGUUGUGUUUAUGUCUUAUUUUAAUUGGAUGCGUGUGACUGAUUAUUGCACACUGUUAAUAAUCAACCUAUUAAUAUUGGGCGCAACGUCUCCCAAAGGUUCAUGAUAGAGUUGAACCGGAAACAAUAAUAAUCAUAUUGAUUGGAACGGCUUUCAAAGUACUAGAGGAGGGAGGUCUCCGAUAGUGCGAAAACAAGUUAAUUAAAAUGUAAUGGAGAGGAGGGAACGGCCUCUAGAAAGACGCUAAACGGGGGGGCGUGCCCUUACAAGAGAGGAGUGUAAUCACUAUAUAAACUGUUAAACUUUGCAUGAAAAACUAUCACCACAUCAUUAUGUCAUAUCUGUUCCUUAAAAUAACGCAUAAAUCAUGAUGUUGUUGAAUGACAGUUAGCUCACUUAUGAAACUAUGGGAUUGUGGCGGUAACCACCUUCUCAUAGAUGUUUGCGCAGGUACUGAAGAUUAUGGAAUGGAUUAACUGCUAGCAUAAGAGAUUUAAGGCUGUGUAGUUAGGAUUAUAGUAAUUUGUACUCAUAGAUGUUUGUACUAUUUGCUUGUAAUAUGUCUAGACAUUUACUUGUAAUUAAUAAGUUUCAUGUUCGUAAUUAGCGUAAAGACUUUUAAUGUAUUUUCUAGAAGAUGUCAGUUAAAGCUCUGAAUAUAUCGUAGGGGAAUUGUCUCUAUCGGUAAUGUUUAAAAAAAAAAAAAGAUAUUCGUAUUUUUCCGCUGCUAGAUUUUAUCAACUCUGAAAGGUUAACGAUACGUAAUUAUCCAGAUAUAAUUACUUA